rnacentral:rRNA from 1 species
CAGUAGCCGCGGGAAUACGUAGGUGGCAAGCGUUGUCCGGAAUUAUUGGGCGUAAAGGGCUCGCAGGUGGUUUCUUAAGUCUGAUGUGAAAGCCCCCGGCUCAACCGGGGAGGGUCAUUGGAAACUGGGAAACUUGAGUGCAGAAGAGGAGAGUGGAAUUCCACGUGUAGCGGUGAAAUGCGCAGAGAUGUGGAGGAACACCAGUGGCGAAGGCGACUCUCUGGUCUGUAACUGACGCUGAGGAGCGAAAGCGUGGGGAGCGAACAGGAUUAGAUACCCCUGUAGUCCCUGUCUCUUAUAC